ACAAUUUUAAAAUAUAAUCCAACAAAUUUAAUCUACAAUACCUAAAAAAUUUGUAUAUAGAGAGAGAGUUGAGCUGGAAUGCUGGAUUUCGUUGCCAUCCGUUUAUUUUUGAUGAUAGAGUUUCUAAAUCGACGAUCGGCACCAUUGUACAUGACCUAUGCCACUUAAAGUAUCUAGAAAUCAAAUUUCAAAUAUUUUCGACAUUAUUGAUCUAAUGAUCAAAGAGUUUCAAAAUUUAUAAUUUUACAGUCGAUAUGAGAUAUUUUUUAUUUUACGGUGUAAAGACAUCUAAAUCAGUUAGAAUUUUCGCUAGAAAAUUUUUUAAACUAUUAAAAAUAAGAUGGAAUGGGA
rnacentral:lncRNA from 1 species